AGAGUUUGAUCAUGGCUCAGAGCGAACGCUGGCGGCGUGCUUAACACAUGCAAGUCGAACGCGCAGCAUUCUGUAGCAAUACAGGGUGUGGGCGCGUGGCGAACGGGUGCGUAACACGUGGAUAACCUUCCUUGAGGUGGGGAAUAACCCAGUGAAAAUUGGGCUAAUACCGCAUAACAUCGCGAUGGCACAUGCUGAUGCGAUCAAAGGCGCAAGUCGCCAUAAGAGGGAUCCGCGGCCGAUUAGCUUGUUGGCGAGGUAAUGGCUCACCAAGGCAAUGAUCGGUAGCCGGACUGAGAGGUUGGCCGGCCACACUGGAACUGAGACACGGUCCAGACUCCUACGGGAGGCAGCAGUGGGGAAUCUUGCACAAUGGACGAAAGUCUGAUGCAGCAACGCCGCGUGGGGGAUGAAGCUUCUCGGAGUGUAAACCCCUUUCGACCCGGAAGAAUGCCCGCAAGGGUAUGACGGUACGGGUAUAAGAAGCCCCGGCUAACUACGUGCCAGCAGCCGCGGUAAUACGUAGGGGGCCAGCGUUGCUCGGAAUUACUGGGCGUAAAGGGUCCGUAGGCGGUGUAGCAAGUCGAUAGUGAAAUCUCUGGGCUUAACCCAGAGGCUGCUAACGAAACUGCUGUGCUAGAGUGUGAGAGAGGCGAGUGGAAUUACGGGUGUAGCGGUGAAAUGCGUAGAUAUCCGUAGGAACAUCCGAGGCGAAGGCGGCUCGCUGGAUCACAACUGACGCUGAGGGACGAAAGCUAGGGGAGCAAACAGGAUUAGAUACCCCGGUAGUCC
rnacentral:rRNA from 1 species